GUGCCAGCGCGGUAAUACGAAGGGGCGAGCGUUGUUCGGAAUUACUGGGCGUAAAGGGCGCGUAGGCGGCCGAUCAAGUUAGAUGUGAAAGUCCUGGGCUUAACCUGGGGACUGCAUUUGAUACUGAUUGGCUUGAAUUCGGGAGAGGAUAGCGGAAUUCCCAGUGUAGAGGUGAAAUUCGUAGAUAUUGGGAAGAACACCGGUGGCGAAGGCGGCUAUCUGGACCGACAUUGACGCUGAGGCGCGAAAGCGUGGGGAGCAAACA
rnacentral:rRNA from 1 species